UGUGAUCUGCAGACUGGAAUUAGUCUCCGACAGAGCUGAAAACACCAUGCUGCACAGAGGCUGACGGAAGGCUAGAAACACACUCUCUUCUAAUGUGGAGGGAUGGAGGACACAAAGACACAGACCAUGGAACACGAUGCAGCAGCUGUGAGAGGAGGAGGCCUAACGUGACCAGCCUGCAGGGGAUCUGAUGAGCUGAACUCAGAUUUCUGCAUUCACCUUUGAGCACAAGAUCCAAGAAGGUGCUGAGGGAGUCUUCAGAGUCAGAGCUGAGGACUGAUCGAGACAGACAGGAAGUGAGUGCG